UUUCCGCUGGAUUACACCCAACUCCACACCCAUUUCUCCAGUGACCCCAUCCAGCCACCUCAACCUCUGUCAUCCCCUUCUCCUUUUGCCUUCAAUUGGACCCAGCAUCAUGGGCUUUUCCAAUGAGUCCAUUCUUCUCAUUAGCUGGCCAAUUAGCUUCCCCU